GUAAUUGGAAUGAUUCAUUUAUGAGUAUAAAUUAGACCCACUUCAUGUUACUGAAGCCUAGCAGGAGGGAUGGUAUGGCUGGAAUGAUAAAAUCAAUAGUGAGAACCUAUUUAAGAUGAAUCAAUUAGGGGAGAAAAAGUAAGAAGAGUAGCAUUUUAUAAUAAAAGUGACUUUUCUUUCCUAUCUCAGGGGUAAAUGAUCUGCAGUGCUCAUAGAUCAGUGGUCUGUAAGAGAGAGCCAGAAACGCUGUGAGCAGCAGGUCCCCACAUCACACCUGAAUGGCUGGAAUAGUCUCUCCACACUGGGGACAAUUGUGUAGGAAAGAUGAAAAAAAUAAUGAAGAGUGAAGUCCAAAAACUUGAUACUUCAAAUGUUUCACAGAGAUGGGGGAAAAGAAAUGUGAGCCAAAAAGAUUGUUAAAAAGAAUUCAUAGUGAGGAAGACAGGAAUACCAUCUGGGGUUCUCAUAUAAGGAAGAGCAAGGAGAAACCAGGACUUGUCCACCCUGCAUGUGAAUAUAUGUGCCCAGUAUGAGGCUGUCCUGAGAUCUGGGAGAAGGAGUCUGAGGCCGUAAUCUCCCCUUCAUGCAGCCCAUGUGCUGAGGAGCCACCCAGAGCCUUACUGCAAAGGAA
rnacentral:lncRNA from 1 species